GACGGGGAUAGGAAAGGCCAUCCGAAAAGCGGAAUUCUCGUUACCGCCUUCCCCGUUAUAUAAUAUAAUUA
rnacentral:sRNA from 1 species